UGGGGAAUAUUGGACAAUGGGGGGAACCCUGAUCCAGCGAUGCCGCGUGUGCGAAGAAGGCCUGCGGGUUGUAAAGCACUUUGGUUGGGGAAGAAGGUUGUGCGUUGAAUAGGCGCAUGAAUUGACGUUACCCAAAGAACAAGCACCGGCUAACUCUGUGCCAGCAGCCGCGGUAAUACAGAGGGUGCGAGCGUUAAUCGGAAUUACUGGGCGUAAAGGGUGCGUAGGCGGAUGUUUAAGUUAGAUGUGAAAUCCCCGGGCUUAACCUGGGAAUUGCAUUUAAUACUGAAUGACUAGAGUAGAGUAGAGGGAAGUGGAAUUUCCGGUGUAGCGGUGAAAUGCGUAGAUAUCGGAAAGAACAUCAGUGGCGAAGGCGGCUUCCUGGACUCAUACUGACGCUGAGGCACGAAAGCAUGGGGAGCAAACAG
rnacentral:rRNA from 1 species